CUCAUUCCGCUCUGAGAGCCGCCGCGGGCCGUCGCUGUGGCUGCAGUCGCUGCCUAAUGUUUUCGCGCUCCUCCCUUCCCUCCUCCUCUUUCUCCUCCUCCGAGUCCCAGUCAGGCUGACCUGCCCCGCUCGCGGGCAGAAAACUAAGACCUAACUUGCUACCUUGUCUGAAGUCACAUGUGCUUAGGUGACUCUGCAACUUGAUGGACGACGACACCUCUUUUCAACCAAAAAGUAAGUAUUGCUGCUGCAAGUGAUACUAGUGUACUUGGCUCUUGUAUUGAUAAUCUUGCUUCAUGAGAAAAUGUGAGAGAGACGGAGGUGGGCAUAUUGAAAAAAAAAAAAACACAAAAAACCUCUUAAGUUUAUUGUAGUAAUCUGUGUAGUUGCUAGGUUGUAUCUGACUCUUUGCGACCCCAUGGACUGUAGCCUGCCAGGCUCCCCUGUCCAUGGUAUUCUCCAGACAAGAAUACUGGAGU